GAUGAACGCUGGCGGCGUGCCUAAUACAUGCAAGUCGAGCGAGAAACUCAUGACUGAUUCUUCGGAUGAAGGAUUGAGCGGAAAGCGGCGGACGGGUGAGCAACGCGUGGGUAACCUGCCCCAUACAGAGGGAUAGCAGUUGGAAACGACUAUUAAUACCUCAUAUACUAUUAAAAUCGCAUGAUUUAAAUAGGAAAGAUUUUAUCGGUAUGGGAUGGACCCGCGUCUGAUUAGCUAGUUGGUGAGGUAACGGCUCACCAAGGCGACGAUCAGUAGCCGACCUUAGAGGGUGAUCGGCCACACUGGAACUGAGACACGGUCCAGACUCCUACGGGAGGCAGCAGUAGGGAAUAUUGGGCAAUGGGGGCAACCCUGACCCAGCAACGCCGCGUGAACGAUGAAGGUCUUCGGAUUGUAAAGUUCUUUUCUUGAGGAAGAAGAAAGUGACGGUACUCAAGGAAUAAGCACCGGCUAACUACGUGCCAGCAGCCGCGGUAAUACGUAGGGUGCAGGCGUUAUCCGGAAUCACUGGGCGUAAAGGGUGCGUAGGCGGCCUAACAAGUCAGAAGUUAAAUCCAUUGGCUCAACCAAUGUCAGCUUUUGAAACUGUUUGGCUUGAAUACGGGAUGGGCAAGUGGAAUUCCUAGUGUAGCGGUGAAAUGCGUAGAUAUUAGGAGGAACAUCAGUGGCGAAGGCGACUUGCUGGACUGAGAUUGACGCUGAGGCACGAAAGCGUGGGGAGCGAACAGG
rnacentral:rRNA from 1 species